rnacentral:rRNA from 1 species
UCCAGACUCCUACGGGAGGCAGCAGUGGGGGAUAUUGCACAAUGGGGGGAACCCUGAUGCAGCGACGCCGCGUGGGUGAAGAAGUAUUUCGGUAUGUAAAGCCCUAUCGGCAGGGAAGAAAUUGGACGGUACCUGACUAAGAAGCCCCGGCUAACUACGUGCCAGCAGCCGCGGUAAUACGUAGGGGGCAAGCGUUAUCCGGAUUCACUGGGUGUAAAGGGAGCGUAGACGGCCAUGCAAGCCUGGAGUGAAAGCCCGGGGCCCAACCCCGGGACUGCUCUGGGAACUGUGCGGCUGGAGUGCGGGAGGGGCAGGCGGAAUUCCUAGUGUAGCGGUGAAAUGCGUAGAUAUUAGGAGGAACACCAGUGGCGAAGGCGGCCUGCUGGACUGCAACUGACGUUGAGGCUCGAAGGCGUGGGGAGCAAACAGGAUUAGAUACCCCCGUAGC